rnacentral:rRNA from 1 species
GACGAACGCUGGCGGCGUGCCUAAUACAUGCCAGUAGAACGCUGAAGGAGGAGCUUGCUCUUCUGGAUGAGUUGCGAACGGGUGAGUAACGCGUAGGUAACCUGCCUGGUAGCGGGGGAUAACUAUUGGAAACGAUAGCUAAUACCGCAUAAGAGUAGAUGUUGCAUGACAUUUGCUUAAAAGGUGCAAUUGCAUCACUACCAGAUGGACCUGCGUUGUAUUAGCUAGUUGGUGGGGUAACGGCUCACCAAGGCGACGAUACAUAGCCGACCUGAGAGGGUGAUCGGCCACACUGGGACUGAGACACGGCCCAGACUCCUACGGGAGGCAGCAGUAGGGAAUCUUCGGCAAUGGACGGAAGUCUGACCGAGCAACGCCGCGGGAGUGAAGAAGGUUUUCGGAUCGUAAAGCUCUGUUGUAAGAGAAGAACGAGGGUGAGAGUGGAAAGUUCACACUGUGACGGUAUCUUACCAGAAAGGGACGGCUAACUACGUG